rnacentral:rRNA from 1 species
AAUGGCUGGUGUUCUAACGUAGACCCGUAAUCCGGGUUGCGGACAGUGUCUGGUGGGUAGUUUGACUGGGGCGGUCUCCUCCCAAAGAGUAACGGAGGAGCACGAAGGUUGGCUAAUCCUGGUCGGACAUCAGGAGGUUAGUGCAAUGGCAUAAGCCAGCUUGACUGCGAGCGUGACGGCGCGAGCAGGUGCGAAAGCAGGUCAUAGUGAUCCGGUGGUUCUGAAUGGAAGGGCCAUCGCUCAACGGAUAAAAGGUACUCCGGGGAUAACAGGCUGAUACCGCCCAAGAGUUCAUAUCGACGGCGGUGUUUGGCACCUCGAUGUCGGCUCAUCACAUCCUGGGGCUGAAGUAGGUCCCAAGGGUAUGGCUGUUCGCCAUUUAAAGUGGUACGCGAGCUGGGUUUAGAACGUCGUGAGACAGUUCGGUCCCUAUCUGCCGUGGGCGCUGGAGAAUUGAGGGGGGCUGCUCCUAGUACGAGAGGACCGGAGUGGACGCAUCACUGGUGUUCGGGUUGUCAUGCCAAUGGCACU